GGGGGGGGGGGGGGGGGGGGCGGGGGCGGGGGAGGCGGGCGGCGGCGCAGGGGGGCUGGCGCCGUGGGGGGCGGGUGGCGGACGGGUGAGGAAUACAUGGGAAUCUGCCCAGUCGUGGGGGAUAACGUAGGGAAACUUACGCUAAUACCGCAUGCGCCCUUCGGGGGAAAGCCGGGGACCUUCGGGCCUGGCGCGAUUGGAUGAGCCCAUGUUCGAUUAGCUAGUUGGCGGGGUAAAGGCCCACCAAGGCGACGAUCGAUAGCUGGUCUGAGAGGAUGAUCAGCCACACUGGGACUGAGACACGGCCCAGACUCCUACGGGAGGCAGCAGUAGGGAAUAUUGGACAAUGGGCGCAAGCCUGAUCCAGCCAUGCCGCGUGAGUGAAGAAGGCCCUCGGGUUGUAAAGCUCUUUUGUCCGGGAAGAAAAGCAUCGGGCUAAUACCUCGGUGUUCUGACGGUACCGGAAGAAUAAGCACCGGCUAACUUCGU
rnacentral:rRNA from 1 species